GUGUCAGCAGCCGCGGUAAUACGUAGGUGACCAGCGUUGUACGGAUUUACUGGGCGUAAAGAGCGCGCAGGCGGUCGUUCAAGUCGAGUGUGAAAGCCCCCGGCUCAACUGGGGAGGGUCACUUGAUACUGAUCGACUCGAAGGCAGGAGAGGGAAGCGGAAUUCCCGGUGUAGUGGUGAAAUGCGUAGAUAUCGGGAGGAACACCAGUGGCGAAGGCGGCUUCCUGGCCUGUUCUUGACGCUGAGGCGCGAAAGCGUGGGGAGCGAACAGGAUUAGAAACCCCCGUAGUCC
rnacentral:rRNA from 1 species